AUGAUAGAAAAGGGAUUACGCAUUGCACAGGUCCAUUAUAGUUGCAAAAUGUAAAGAAACAAUUGCUUACGUCACACGGCGCAGUAAAAUAUUUGACAGCUAUAAAUUCGUGGUAGCAAUCAAUGUGAAUAGAGAAACAAUUUAUUUUAAAAGUAUAAUUUUGUAUUUAAAUAUCAAAAUGAAGUGUGUUGUGAAAAACUGUGUCAAUGAUAGAAGGAAUAAAAAUGUGAAGAAAACAUUUUUUAUGUUUCCGAACUACAAAGGGCAGCAAAAAAAGUGGAUCCAAUUUUGCAGAAAUACUCAAGCAUUUAAGCCGAAAACAUGGCGAAUUUGCAUGGACCACUUCAACGAUGAAGACAUUAUUGGAAACGGGAUGUUCGAAAUGGGUAAGUUGAUAAAUCACUUUUGUUUUAAAAUAUUUUAAUUUUAAACUUUUCAUAGGCCUUGCCGCCAAAAGGACUUUGAAACCAGGAGCUAUUCCCUGUCGCUAUAACGUUGCAGCUUGUGAAAAUUAGCAGCGAGCCACCAGAGCUAAGCGCAGGGAAAAUAAGAAAAUAGUGACUUCGUUGCUGAUAAAUGUUGACCAGCCUCAAGAAGUGGGAGUAUAGUGUAUACCUGCUGAAGAUUUUAACGUGACUGAGGAUUGUGCAGACCUUUCAAUGGAAAAUAGUUUCAAUGAAUUGUGCACUGAAGACGCUGCUAUUAAGGAAAUAAAAAUGCUAAAGAAAAAAGUAAUACUACUUCAAACUGAAAAUAAAAAACUUAAAGAAGAUUUUUCCCAUGCCAAGCGCAAACUUGAAUAUGAAAUAGGCGAGUUAAAAGUAAAACUAGCUAAAUCUGAGUUUUACUACAAAAAUGUUGAAGAAAAGUUAAAGAGGAUUUUUAUGGACGGUCAGAUAAAAAAAAUUGAAAAACGGAUCCAAAAGGCAAAUUUGGACGCAGACUGACAUAGCCAACUCCAUUACACUAUAUUCUGCUAGUGCAAAAGGAUAUAGACUUUUAAGAAGAAGCAAUUUUCCGCUUCCAGCAGUAAUCUUCAGCUUCAGUAAUGGGCUCAGAAGGUGGAAAUAGACCGCGGCAUUUUAAAGCCGGUUGUUCAAGUUCUUGGUGAAACUAGGCAUAUGACCAAAGAACAAAAACUUUGCGUUUUAAGUUUCGACGAAGCCAAGCUACGAGAAGUUUUUUGUUACGACAAAGUAUCCGAUACUGUCUUACCACCUGUUAAGAAUGUUCAAGUCGGAAUGCUUAGAGGUCUUGUUGGAAAUUGGAAACAACCAAUUUUUUACGAUUUUGACCGCAAUAUGACGACAGAUAUUAUUAACGAUAUAAUUAAAACAGCGAAAAACUGUGAAUACAACGUUGUUGGUAUUGUUUGCGAUUUAGGUGGAACCAACAGAAGCCUUUUAAAUAGCUUAAAUAUUAGCCCAGAAAAACCAUGGUAGGUGCAUUUAUUAAGCUGACUAUUUGCAAUUCUUUGUAAGAGAUUACAGUAUUUUUUCUUUG